rnacentral:rRNA from 1 species
UACGGGGGGAGCAAGCGUUGUUCGGAUUUACUGGGCGUAAAGGGCGCGUAGGCGGCGCAACAAGUCACUUGUGAAAUCUCCGGGCUUAACCCGGAGCGGCCAAGUGAUACUGUCGUGCUAGAGUGCGGAAGGGGCUACUGGAAUUCUCGGUGUAGCGGUGAAAUGCGUUGAUAUCGGGAGGAAUACCCGUGGCGAAGGCGGUCCACUGGGCAUCAACUGACGCUGAGGCGCGAAAGCGUGGGUAGCAAACAGG